AUUGCUGCAGGUAGCAAGACGGCUCUCUGCUGAAAUACCUUGUUAGCUGGGGAAUAUGUGACCAUUUUACAAAGGCAGAGAAAAAGCAGCCUAAAAUACAAGUUCCACAGUACCCAUGACGGCUCGGCCGGCUACACAGCCAAAAAAGAAAAAGACAGAGGCAGAAAGGGCUGCGAUGAAGAAGGCUCUGGAUAAAGCAAGAGGACAAACUAGAGUCAACAUCGGGGCAGCCUUUGAGCGGUGGAGACAACAGAGCAGUGGCUUUGUGUUUGUUGGAGUGGUAAAUAUUUGCUUUGGUGGACUUUUUAUUUUUCAAAAUAAAUGUAAUGUUUGCCAGCUUAGCUACUUUUGUAGCUCGUAUUGGCCUGAUGCCAAUGUUAGCUUUUCUCUGCUUGUAAACGGUCGUAGUGGCCAGUGUAUGAGUGCUGAUGUAUUGAAGAGGUUGUAGGACGUGACAUUUUGAUCAUAUUGCACACCUACAGUUGCCAGUGUCUGCAUGGUUGUCUGCUGGCAUCUGCAGUAGCACCAAUGCUAUUUACUUUCAUGUUGACCGGGCCCCCUUUCUAUUUUAUUAAGUAUUUAUCUUUAUUAUAUCUGAAUUUAAUUGUAAGCACCAUUGUUGUUUAAAAAAAGCACGCGUAGUGGUGUUGUUGAGUGAUAAAGCAGCUUGGAAAGUUUACAAAUAAAAUAAAAUAAAAAAAGUACAAUUGAUAUUUGAGACAGAGUAACAUCUUCAUACCACACUCUCCUUCUCUUCAUUUCAGGCACCGCAAGCUAUAUAACAGAAAGUCCAGAGCAAAGCAUUUGAACACCAUAAAGGCCCCACGAGAUAUACA